AGAGUUUGAUCAUGGCUCAGAUUGAACGCUGGCGGCAGGCCUAACACAUGCAAGUCGAGCGGAUGAAGGGAGCUUGCUCCUGGAUUCAGCGGCGGACGGGUGAGUAAUGCCUAGGAAUCUGCCUGGUAGUGGGGGAUAACGUCCGGAAACGGGCGCUAAUACCGCAUACGUCCUGAGGGAGAAAGUGGGGGAUCUUCGGACCUCACGCUAUCAGAUGAGCCUAGGUCGGAUUAGCUAGUUGGUGGGGUAAAGGCCUACCAAGGCGACGAUCCGUAACUGGUCUGAGAGGAUGAUCAGUCACACUGGAACUGAGACACGGUCCAGACUCCUACGGGAGGCAGCAGUGGGGAAUAUUGGACAAUGGGCGAAAGCCUGAUCCAGCCAUGCCGCGUGUGUGAAGAAGGUCUUCGGAUUGUAAAGCACUUUAAGUUGGGAGGAAGGGCAGUAAGUUAAUACCUUGCUGUUUUGACGUUACCAACAGAAUAAGCACCGGCUAACUUCGUGCCAGCAGCCGCGGUAAUACGAAGGGUGCAAGCGUUAAUCGGAAUUACUGGGCGUAAAGCGCGCGUAGGUGGUUCAGCAAGUUGGAUGUGAAAUCCCCGGGCUCAACCUGGGAACUGCAUCCGAAACUGGCAGGCUAGAGUCUUGUAGAGGGGGUAGAAUUCCAGGUGUAGCGGUGAAAUGCGUAGAGAUCUGGAGGAAUACCGGUGGCGAAGGCGGCCCCCUGGACAAAGACUGACGCUCAGGUGCGAAAGCGUGGGGAGCAAACAGGAUUAGAUACCCUGGUAGUCCACGCCGUA
rnacentral:rRNA from 1 species